GUGUGGCAUCUUCUAUCUUCUGGCUGCAGAGGCUCUCCCUGCUGUGUGCUCAACAACCUUUGAACCCUAAGUGCUGUCCAUGCAGAUGAGGCAAAGGGAAUUUCCCAGGUUCUGGGAUUAGGAUGUGGACCUCUUCAGGAACCAUUCUUCUGCCUAUCACAAUGGAUGCCCAGAGGCCUAAGAGAUUGUUUUCGAGCAGAGGAGAGAUGACAGAACCCAGACCAGCCCAGAGAAGAAGGACAAGCAGAAGGGAUGGGCAAGGAAAGACAAACAACAUGGCCUGAUUCAGAGACACUGGCUGAGCGAGCAGGAUAAGAAAAUAACAACAGGGAACAGAUGAGGACCCCUGGUCCAGCAUGGUCUGAGUACAUAGGAAACCUCAAUGAAUGCUAAAUAGUUGGGUAUCAAGAAGACCUGGCAGCUUCCACUUUUGCACUCUUGGAGGAGCCAGCUGCCAUGUAAAAAGUGUCACUUCCCUGAAACCACUAUGCUGUGAGGAAGCCUGAGCUAACCCACUUGGAGAGACCACAUAGAGAGAGUUGUCCCUGGCUAGUCCAGCCAUC
rnacentral:lncRNA from 1 species